rnacentral:rRNA from 1 species
CUCGGGCUAAUACCGAAUGUGCCCUCCGGCCAUAAGGCCGCUGGGGAAAGGAAGCUUCGGCCUCCGCAUCAGGAUGGGCCCGCGGCCCAUUAGCCUGUUGGUGAGGUAACGGCUCACCAAGGCUACGAUGGGUAGCUGGUCUGAGAGGACGAUCAGCCACACUGGGACUGAGACACGGCCCAGACUCCUACGGGAGGCAGCAGUGAGGAAUCUUGCGCAAUGCGCGAAAGCGUGACGCAGCAACGCCGCGUGGGGGAAGAAGGCCUUCGGGUUGUAAACCCCUUUCAGUUGGGACGAAGCUUCGCCGGUGAAUAGCCGGCUGGAGUGACGGUACCUUCAGAAGAAGCCCCGGCUAACUACGUGCCAGCAGCCGCGGUAAUACGUAGGGGGCAAGCGUUGUCCGGAAUCAUUGGGCGUAAAGAGCGUGUAGGCGGCUCGGUAAGUCCGCUGUGAAAGUCCAGGGGCUCAACCCUGGAAUGCCGGUGGAUACUGUCG